CGGUGAGGAACCUGCCUUGGAGAGGGGGAUAACACUCCGAAAGGAGUGCUAAUACCGCAUGAUGCAGUUGGGUCGCAUGGCUCUGACUGCCAAAGAUUUAUCGCUCUGAGAUGGCCUCGCGUCUGAUUAGCUAGUAGGCGGGGUAACGGCCCACCUAGGCGACGAUCAGUAGCCGGACUGAGAGGUUGACCGGCCACAUUGGGACUGAGACACGGCCCAG
rnacentral:rRNA from 1 species